rnacentral:pre_miRNA from 1 species
AGCUAAUGGACUUUACUUCCUCUGCUUAAUUUUUCUGCAGAGGUAUUGUUUAUUGGCUAA